rnacentral:rRNA from 1 species
AAUCGACAAGAUCCUAGGAAGUUGAAAGAUUCGAAGAGAGAGUUCAAGACUACGUGAAACCGUCCAGAGGUAAACGGGUGGAUCCGCAAAGUCGGCCCGCGGAAUUCAGCUCGGAAGGUCGGCGUGCGCGUCGCUGGGUCGGAGAUCGGUAACGACUCUCCCGGUGGCGUGACGCGUCCCGUCCGUGUGCACUUUCCGCGGGCAGAGCGCCACGACCGGUUCUCGAGCGGUCAGAAGGCGGCCGGGGAUGGUAGGCGCACGCUUCGGCGUGCGCUGGUAUAGCCCUGGCCUGUCCCGAUCCGCUUGGGGACCGAGGAGCCGCCGUCGGCGUAGGCCGCCUCGCUCUCCCGGGAUGUUUCGACUAGCAGAGACUGGGCAACCGUGUCUGCUGACCGCUUCCUUGGAUGGACGGGGUGGGCCGCCGGCACAGGGAUCGGAUGGCGAUC